ensembl:misc_RNA 7SK 7SK RNA
GAAUCUGAGGGCAACCUGACUGUGACAUCUGUCACCUCAUUGAUCACCAGGGUUGAUCUGACUGAUCUGCAGCUAGGCUGGUGUCCCCCUUCCCCCUCACCACCGCAUGUAUGUCCCUCCUUGAGGUGAAUGCUCAGUCGAAGAGCAAAACUUUACCUGAUACAGGAGGACCACUCUUCAAUCUAAGGUAUGUGAGUAGCAGUACUCUCUUGCUAGAACCUCUAAACAAAUUCUCAAGAAAAGUACUUUUAAAAACCUUUCAUUUAUUUAUUUUGGAUGGGGAACUUGCCCUACAUCAGCUCAU